ACUUUUGAGGAAUGUGUCUUGCACGUCUUGCAAUGCGAGGCACCAAUGGUGGGUGCUCGGCCGAGCUGCAAAGGGCUGCGGCAUUGUACAACCCCCAGCUCAUCCAAAUGCUGAGAGGGCUGAACAAAAACUGGG